rnacentral:rRNA from 1 species
AGCAAUACAGGGUGUGGGCGCGUGGCGAACGGGUGCGUAACACGUGGAUAACCUUCCUUCAGGUGGGGAAUAACCCAGUGAAAAUUGGGCUAAUACCGCAUAACAUGACGAUGCCACAUGGUGUUGUCUUCAAAGCCGCAAGGCGCCAGAAGAGGGAUCCGCGGCCGAUUAGCUUGUUGGCGAGGUAAUGGCUCACCAAGGCUUUGAUCGGUAGCCGGACUGAGAGGUUGGCCGGCCACACUGGAACUGAGACACGGUCCAGACUCCUACGGGAGGCAGCAGUGGGGAAUCUUGCACAAUGGACGAAAGUCUGAUGCAGCAACGCCGCGUGGGGGAUGAAGCUUUUCGGAGUGUAAACCCCUUUCGACCCGGAAGAAUGCCCGCAAGGGUUUGACGGUACGGGUAUAAGAAGCCCCGGCUAACUACGUGCCAGCAGCCGCGGUAAUACGUAGGGGGCCAGCGUUGCUCGGAAUU